AGAGUUUGAUCCUGGCUCAGGAUGAACGCUGGCGGCGUGCCUAACACAUGCAAGUCGAACGGAACUUUAACGGAACAAGGCUUCGGCCAAGUGAAAUUAAAGUUUAGUGGCGGACGGGUGAGUAACGCGUGAGUAACCUGCCUUUCACAGGGGGAUAACGUUUGGAAACGAACGCUAACACCGCAUAACACAGCAGAGUCGCAUGGCUCAGCUAUCAAAGAUUUUAUCGGUGAAAGAUGGACUCGCGUCCGAUUAGGUAGUUGGUGAGGUAACGGCUCACCAAGCCGACGAUCGGUAGCCGGACUGAGAGGUUGAACGGCCACAUUGGGACUGAGACACGGCCCAGACUCCUACGGGAGGCAGCAGUGGGGAAUAUUGCACAAUGGGCGCAAGCCUGAUGCAGCAACGCCGCGUGAGGGAAGACGGUUUUCGGAUUGUAAACCUCUGUCUUUGGUGACGAAGAAGUGACGGUAGCCAAGGAGGAAGCCACGGCUAACUACGUGCCAGCAGCCGCGGUAAUACGUAGGUGGCAAGCGUUAUCCGGAAUUACUGGGUGUAAAGGGAGCGCAGGCGGGAUAGCAAGUCAGCGGUGAAAUGCAUGGGCUUAACUCAUGAGCUGCCGUUGAAACUGUUAUUCUUGAGUGGAGUAGAGGCAGGCGGAAUUCCGAGUGUAGCGGUGAAAUGCGUAGAUAUUAGGAGGAACACCAGUGGCGAAGGCGGCCUGCUGGGCUCUAACUGACGCUGAGGCUCGAAAGUGUGGGGAGCAAACAGGAUUAGAUACCCUGGUAGUCCACACUGUAAACG
rnacentral:rRNA from 1 species